AUAAUAAUAAUAAUAAUAAUAAGCCCGCAGGGCAGCUUGUGGCGAGCUGUUGGGGAGUAACGACCCCACGGACCCGAGUGCUCCAGAGAGUCGGUCAGGUGGAACCCCAAGGGGACCCGCAGGACUCUCGGCUCUGGCUUGCCUUCAUUGGCCGUCCAGAGAGGAGUCGUUAGAGCUAUAUGCUCCAGGGGUGGAAGUGAAAUUUGCGUAAGCGCGAGUUGGCACAGUGGCUGUUUACAGCCACUGGGUAGAAAGCGGUGUACACCUCUCGACACCCCUGAGCCGCUCACACCGAUGUUGCGCCUGGUCGUCUUUACGACGACAGUUUCAGGGGCCCAUCUAGUCAGCGGCGAGUCACCACCUGCCUCGAUAACGUGUGUUAGCAUUGUUAUGGCAGGUGUCCGGACUUCUUUACAAUAGCCCAGUAUCAUUGUCCCCCCAAACUUCAAUCCAUAGACCGAUAUACUGUUCACUUUUUAUACAAUAGUCCCAAUGCCUGCUGAGACCGGUUCACGGGUAUCUAUUGAUGUACCCGUGAAUGGGUUCCAGCAGGCGUUCUACAUGACAUCAAACUUGUCUGAAAGGGCCUCUGCGCUGUUGGCUUCGGCCCCACGCACGCCUCCCAAAGGUCCGGGACCCCAUGGUCCCGAGAUAUGGUGAGACAUACAAA